ACGUCUUCAGGAAAGCUGCUCCUGAACCCGAGACAGCAUCAGGAGCGUCUCGCCUGAGCUGAGGAGACCAAGAGCUGGACUGAUGCUCAGUGAUCAUUUCAGGUGUUUCCACUCUGCCCCAGUCGCCCUCCCGUGUAUACACAGUCGCGGUCUCCCUUUGUUCGCUGUCAGAUUGUGUGUUUGUGAUCCCGUUCAGUUCGCCCUGUUUGUCAGGCCUUCCACCAGAAUAAAGGUCUCUGCAUUUAAACGACCCAGCGGCCCAAAGCCUCACAAAACAACCGCUCUCGUAUCAAAUUUUAGGACAACAGACAAGGACAAACAAACAGCCUUCAGAAGUGGGAGGCAGCACUCAGAUCCACAGAUGAAUCAUCUGCAUUGUUGUCAACGCUAUCACGUUUGGUGCUCACAGCAACCACAAGGUCAGCGCCACAUGAUUGAAGGGCAGUUAUAUAACA